ensembl:snRNA U4 U4 spliceosomal RNA
AGCUUCGCGCAGUGGCAGUAUCGUAGCCAAUGAGGUUUAUCCGAGGUGCGAUUAUUGCUAAGAGACAUUCCUUCUGUAUUCCAAAGUGAAACACUCAGGAACUUGGUACCUCUGAGGUCCCUCUGACAAGGUGUAAACAAAGGG